rnacentral:rRNA from 1 species
AACGAACGCUGGCGGCAUGCCUAACACAUGCAAGUCGAACGAAGCCUUCGGGCUUAGUGGCGCACGGGUGCGUAACGCGUGGGAAUCUGCCCUUGGGUUCGGAAUAACAGUUAGAAAUGACUGCUAAUACCGGAUGAUGUCUUCGGACCAAAGAUUUAUCGCCCAAGGAUGAGCCCGCGUAGGAUUAGGUAGUUGGUGGGGUAAUGGCCCACCAAGCCGACGAUCCUUAGCUGGUCUGAGAGGAUGAUCAGCCACACUGGGACUGAGACACGGGCCAUACUCCUAAGGGAGGCAGCAGUGGGGAAUAUUGGACAAUGGGCGAAAGCCUGAUCCAGCAAUGCUGCGUGAGUGAUGAAGGCCUUCGGGUUGUAAAGCUCUUUUACCAGGGAUGAUAAUGACAGUACCUGGAGAAUAAGCUCCGGCUAACUCCGUGCCAGCCGCCGCAGUAA